ACGGAGGGUGCAAGCGUUAUCCGGAUACACUGGGUUUAAAGGGUGCGUAGGCGGUCCUAUAAGUCAGUGCUGAAAUAUCCCGGCUUAACCGGGAGGGUGGCAUUGAUACUGCAGGACUUGAGUGAAGUCGAGGUAGACGGAAUUGACGGUGUAGCGGUGAAAUGCUUAGAUAUCGUCAAGAACACCGAUAGUGAAGACAGCUUACUAGACUUCAACUGACGCUGAGGCACGAAAGUGUGGGGAUCAAACAGGA
rnacentral:rRNA from 1 species